rnacentral:lncRNA from 1 species
AGAAGUGAAAAAAUUCUUCUUCUUGCACUGAUUCCUCUUUCAAUAAAAAUGUCAUAAUGAAGGAGAUAAAAGUGAUAAUGUGUUAGCACCAGUAGAUGUAAAUGAUGAUGUUGAGCAGGUGGAACAACUCCCUCCACCUCAGAUUAUAGAAGAACCUCAUAUUAGAAGGUCAAGCAGAACACAUCAUUACAAGAAGUGCAUAAUCACAAAGAAAAAGCUCAGUGGAUAAAUGCAAUACAACAUAAAAUGAGUUCUUUAAAAAA